UACUAAGUGAAUACUUACGGGUACAUAUAGUUGCUUACUAUGAGAACUGCAAGAUGGGAAAACUGGUAAAUAGGUGGUAAUGUAGUAAAGACUGGAACAGAGGCUCUGUAAUUAGUGAUGUUCACAC